CACGUAGGGUGCGAGCGUUUGUCCGGAAUUAUUGGGCGUAAAGAGCUCGUAGGCGGUGUGUCGCGUCGGCCGUGAAAACCUGCAGCUUAACUGUGGGCUUGCGGUCGAUACGGGCAUCACUGGAGUUCGGCAGGGGAGACUGGAAUUCCUGGUGUAGCGGUGAAAUGCGCAGAUAUCAGGAAGAACACCCGUGGCGAAAGCGGCUCUCUGGAACGGUACUGACGCUGAGGCGCGAAAGCGUGGGGAGCGAACAGG
rnacentral:rRNA from 1 species